rnacentral:rRNA from 1 species
UACAGAGGGUGCAAGCGUUGUUCGGAAUCAUUGGGCGUAAAGGGCGUGUAGGCGGCUUGUUAAGUCAUGUGUGAAAUCCCUCGGCUCAACCGGGGAACGACGCAUGAAACUGGCAAGCUAGAGUACCAAAGAGGGGGGUGGAAUUCCCGGUGUAGCGGUGAAAUGCGCAGAUAUCAGGAAGAACACCCGUGGCGAAGGCGGCUCUCUGGGACGGUACUGACGCUGAGACGCGAAAGCGUGGGGAGCGAACAGG